AUGUAUUUGUUGUUGUUAUUGGAACCAGGCAGGACUACUAUUUGUUGGCUGAGUGGAAUAUUGUUGUUGUUAUUGGAGACAGGCAGGAGUAUUGUUGUUGUUAUUGGAGACAGGCAGUAUUGUUGUUAUUGGAGACAGGAGUAUUGUUGUUGUUGUUAUUGGAGACAGGCAGGAGUAUUGUUGUUGUUGUUAUUGGAGACAGGCAGGAGUAUUGUUGUUGUUAUUGGAGACAGGCAGGAGUAUUGUUGUUAUUGGAGACAGACAGGAGUAUUGUUGUUGUUGUUGCUAUUGGAGACAGGCAGGAGUAUUGUUGUUGUUGUUAUUGGAGACAGGCAGGACUACUGUUGUGGAGACAGGAGUAUUGUUGUUGUGAUUGGAGACAGGCAGGAGUAUUGUUGUUGUUAUUGGAGACAGGCAGGAGUAUUGUUGUUGUUGGAGACAGGCAGGAGUAUUGUUGUUGUUGUUGGAGGCAGAGUGUGCUGCUGUUUGUGGAACCAGGGCAGGACUACUGUUGUUGUGGAGACAGGAGUAUUGUUGUUUGUUGUUGGAGACCAGCUAGGAAA
ensembl:lncRNA